GAGAAAGUCAUAGAGGUUAUGGUAUUGGCUUGAAACCAGUUUUAGGGGGUUCGAAUCCCUCCUUUCUUA
rnacentral:tRNA from 1 species